GGGUGGCGCGCGGCAGCAGGGUUGGGCUCUCGCCGUGAGUCGACGAAGGGAGCGCGGGCGCGCGCCCGCGUCCGCGCACUGAGAGUCGCCUCGGCCGCUCGCUUUCUCGACUCCCGCCUCGCGCCUCGAUCCUGUUCCGCCUCCCUCGGCCCUCCUGCCCGCCCCCACUCGUCGGCCCUCAGAUCUUUCUGAGACAUCCCCAGAAAGCGUUGCAAGCUGUGAUUACACCUAAUGUGAGAGCAUGAACUAAUUUAAGAGGUGAGAGCUGCAUAAUGAGGCUGCCUCCCGUGUAGCAGCCAAGACUGGCAGCUCUGGCGGCGCGCUGGAGGGGACCGGGAGGGGCACCCUUGUAGAACCAGUCCCUGGCGCCCUGGGAUCUUCUCAGUGCCCUGGCGCUGUGUUGUCGGUCACUCCACAGAUAUUACAGGGUGCCUCCUGAAUGCCGGGUUGCAAUCAAGAGCAAGAGAUGGGGCGAGUGAAAGAGCCUGUUUUCAGGAGCUCAGCAUCAGGAUGACGAUUACCUAGAGGGAGGUGGUGGCCAGCCUCCCCCUCUUCUCUUCAUGCUGAGGCUCUGGUGGGCAGUGCCCAAGCCUGAACUGCCAUCUGUAUGCCAGUGGUUACCCAACUUGUAUUUUCAGUCUUAGCCUCUCUCUGGUCCAGACUUGUCAUUCUAAGGGCCCUUUUUCACUGACUCACAUUGUCUCCUCCCUCCCUGCCUUCCAAACUCAGCCUUUUCCUUUUUCCCUUUCCCACUGACAACAGCUGCACGACCCCCCCGCCCCCCCACGAGGUGAAAAUUCCCAAGAACCCCAUGUCUAACCUAACUCCCUCUCUAUGUCCUGUUGCUUGAGCCAUUCUCAUUAGGCUGCCUGUUCGGAGUUCAUUAUCUCCUAAUUUUUCAUCCAGGAAUUGAUGAAGAAUCACCUACUGCCUCUCCCACACACUGUUUAUUCUUUCAUUUGAUGAUAUCUGUUAAGUGCCCUGAGAUAUGUAACCUCCACUUCCCUCCCAUAUAAGUGAGAUUUCACGUUGAUUACUUCCUUGGCUUUCCUCAUCCCUUAUCCACAUAGCAUGUGUUCAAAAUAAUGAAUAUUAAUUUAAUGUUAAUAGAUAUGUGCUUUCCUGAAUUGUGAGGAUUAAAUGAAAUCAUGUAUAUAGGGAGGAAAAUCCAUUAGAAACCUCAAAAGCAGUUAUGUUUAUUUUUGCUAUUGUCACAUUGUUAGAGUCAGAAUUCUUUUAGCUGCAAGUGACAAAACCAACUCAAACUGGCUUAAGGACUUUAUUGGUUGAUGCAAAAAGCCUCGGGUUAGGUCUUGCCAUUUAAGGUAGGGCUGGAUCCAUCAAUCCGGGUUACCAGGAUCUGUUUUCUAGUUGUGGCUUCAUUUUCAGACAAGUUGUUUCCAUAUGAUAGCCUCAUAGAAGGUACUACCAGCUUAGUCCUAGCAAGAAAAAAGAGUACUUACUCUUCAAUAUUUGCAGCAGAAGUCCCAGGUCUGUUCUUAUGAGGGCAGUUUGAGUCACUUGCUCUUCUCUGAACGUGGAGAAGGCACUGUUUAGAUGAUGGAGGUUGGAUUCAGGUGCAUCCCCUGGAAUGGGGUUUGGCAUUAGCUUCACGUGGUCUAGAAUAAAGGGGUUCUCCAAAGGAAAAUUAGGGUAGGAAUGCUGAGUAAGCAGAACAAACAGAUGUCUACUUUAGUCCUUCCCAAAGGGUGAGCUGCAAUACAUUGCAGACUAUCAGAAUGGUGAUGAACACGGAUGCAGUAGCCAAGAAAAUAGAUGUGUGUUUGUCGUGGUCUUUUUCAGUCUUCAAGAUCUCAGUUAAACAUGAAGUCAACCACUCACUAUGAUGUUAUUUGAGGUUUAGCUUUGAAGUGGAAAUGUACCACAAAUAGUAGAGCCAGAUAAAUACAAAUAAAUAAUUUUAACAGUCCAUUCUAAAAGAUUUCUUUGGUAAUAUUCUGUUGGAAUUGAUUUCUAUCUUUUCAUUUGUUAGGUUCCUGGAAAGUGAAAAUUUCAUUUCUUUGUGGACAGGUACCUAAAAUGUCUCAUUAUUCAUCAAUUAAUGAAAAACAAAUGAAAAUUUGAGAGAGAUAUUCUGAAGAAUAAAAGGAUCAAGUUGGGUCAUUUCUAAAAUCUCAGAGACCUAAUAGGAUGGGGUCUUAGAGAAACAUCUUUUGAGCCACAGACUUCUUUGUUACCAGAAGGAAAAUGAAAGAAGAAAUUUAAAUACCACUUGAAGAGAGCUGAUCGCCACCAACUGGCCUCUGGGUGGAUUUGGCCAAUGGAAGCACCUGUAGAGGGAAGAGAGUGAGGUUAGGAUAUUUCUUCCUGCUGUCUCCGUGCUUCCCUGCAGAGAGUGUGAAGAAAUGACCCUGAAAAGCCUCUGGCAGAGGAUUCUUCUUUCAGGAUGGUGUCGCCUCCUCAGCAGCCCAUCCUCCUCCCCUGGACUCAAGCUCUCAUUCCAGUAACACUCCUUCCUCCUUCUCCAUCUUCAGGGGGAGGUUUGCCAGUCGGUGGGUUCUAAGCAUAUCUCGCUGAUUCCCCCCAACCCUGCCGACACCUCUGUAGGUCGUCCCUUCAUUAAAAUCUCUCCAUUUGAACUAUCUGAGUUUAAUUCCAUUUCCUCCUGGUAUCUCAGUGAUACACGGUAUCAGUACAAAAAUCUCGCUUCACCUUCAGAACCAACAGAUUUGAGACAUUUUAUCCUCUGUGGAACCAUUAGUUAUUUUGUCAUUGGUUGUAUCAGAAAAAAAAAUCAGGAAUGCAAAUCCUUCUUUAUUACAGAUUCAGAUUUGCAUAUUACCAAUGUUAUAUAUUUUAAACAAAACUAUUCAUCAUAAGUUUUAAAAAUUAACUACUGGAGUAGUUAAUGAAUCUGAAUGUAAUUAUGUAGCUUUCAUAAUAUUAAAGUAAAAAUACUAAAAGAAGUAUUUCUUAAAGAAGCAAAUGCUCAAUCUCCAAGUAAAUUUUAUUCUAUGCUCUUCCGGUAUAAGAAUAUGUUAAUAUCUUGAAAAAUAUCAUAUUAUUUUGUGAACUCAUAAAGCUAUUUUGAGUUUUUGUAAAAUGAAAACCUUACCAAAAUGUAUUUUAUUGUUGGAAAGCUUGACCGUUACUGCUGUUUAAUUUUUUGAGCUUGUAAACUUUAUUUGUGCAUGUUUUCAACAAAGAAGGAUUUUAUUGUUAUUACAUAAAACAGGUGAUUUCUAGAUUUUAAAAUCACAAAUUGAAAGCAAGGCACAAUAAUAUAUAUUUCAAGAUAUAGGUACUUAGGAGGCAUCCUUUUAGUCAUCUGUUCAAUGUAGCCAUCUAUUUUACACCUACUGUCUACUAUUGUUUGAGGUCCUUGCCAAAGUAUUGCAGGCUAGUUAGGAAACAUAAAACAAUUAGAAAGUAAUCUAUGACAAGUAAGCUAUCUAUAAAUGGCAAUGAAGGGUAGAACAAAUUCAAUGAAAAUAUCUAUUUAAUCCUAGUGUUUACUGGUCUAGAAGAAUAGGCUGAGUAAAUUAGUAUUUCUCUGGCUGUUGUGGUAACACAUUGCAUGCUAUAACAGUUUUAAGUAAUUACAGGUGCAUUGAAAUUUAUCUAUGGCUUUGUCAUCAUAUUCUAAAAUGUCAUGAGUACUUUUUUCUGACCUCAAUUACUAUGAAAUUGGUUUCCAAUAUUUAAUUAACCAAGAAUAUCAAGUCUAUAGGGUAUUAUUAAGGUGAGACUUCUGUAGCCUUUUCAAUAAAGACCAGAAUUUUGGAGUGCCUUGAACCUUAAUCAUUGAUCUUUAAUUCUUAUUAAGUCAACUGCCCACCUUUUAAAGACUGAGGCCCAGGAAGAGUAAGUUUCUCUGAGACAAUGCAUACAGUACAGUGCUUCUUGGGUAUUGGCUCUAAGACCAGAUGCAAAGAAAGGCUAAAAUCCCAUUUCAUUGUUCAUUAGGUGAGAACCCUUUGUUAAGCUGUGUAACCUCUGUGCAUAGUUUCCUCAUCAGCAAAGUCAGAAAAAGUAUGUACCUGAAGGACUGAUUGUAAGGCUGGGAUGAGAGAAUCCAUGUGAUCAGCCCUCACCAACAGGUGCUGCCCAGUUCAUGAGUGCUGCUGCUGUCCUGCCCAAGUACCCAGCUUGCAGAGUGCCAGAGUUAGAGUCCCAGGGGUGUUCUCCACAGCUGCAUGCUUGAUCCAGGCCUAUCAGAUAUAUUCCAUUGAAAGUCCUCAUUCUCAAAUUUAAAACAAAGACUUUUUGUGUACCUCAAUAGCAAUGCACACACAGUUGGCUUCACAAACAUAUUGUACAUUUCUUUUUUUCAUAUUUAUUCAACAAAUGUAUAUUGACUACCCACCGUGUGACAGGUGUUAUUUGUUGACGGAACCAGGCAUCAUCAGCAAACAAAACUGACAAAGCUUCCUGCCCUCUGUGGAAGGCAUCUGAGGAAGAGACUGGAUUUUGUAGCAACAUGUUAUUCUCAUUAUAAACUUUAUCAUUGGAAUACUAAAGCCAAAUCAUCCCCCAUCUCCUUGAUCAGGAUACCCACUUAAUCUAGGCAGCUACACAAUUGUGAGAGCCUUUGUUUUUUUCUGCUGAAACAUCCUUAAAAAGAUACCUCACAACCCAAGAUUUGGCUUUUCUUAAAUACGAUUUUUAAUUUUUUUCAUUUCUAUCUAGAGAUUUAAUUGGAAAUGGAAAAUCAUCAAUUUUCCAAUUAAAUGUCUGUUCCAAUCAACAUUAUACCUUUUAGGUUGUCAUUGUCAUUUUUAAGUUUAAGCAACUUUAAGGAUUUUGAAUCUGGCUGCCUGUAAAUUAAAGGUGAAAGUAAUCA
rnacentral:lncRNA from 1 species